UAAUAACAUCAAACAAAAUUAUGGAGAAAAAGUUGUAAAACAUAUUAAGGUUUGGGCCAAUAGCACAGUAAAAUUAGCUUCACUAAAGAAUAGACGAAUUUUUUUAUUACAAUGUAGACUCAAUAAGGUUAUACCGAAACAUAUUAUUCAAAACUUUAAAUGCACAUACCCGUUACUUUUAGAAAAACACCCUUACAAUAAACAAGUAGAUAAAUUAAUAAAGAAUUUUCAUCGUUCUUUUUUAAAUAUUGAAAUAAAGGUAACAAUAUGGGACAUUGAACAACUACUGAUAAAAAUACAAAAUUUAAAAGAAUUAAUUGGCGAAGUGGUACCGCGAGACGUCUUGGAUAAGUGUAUAAAUAUGAAUAACAAUAGAUUUGAUAAACUUUUUGACAAAAUAAAGAAAAAUAACAUUAAAAAAUUAUCGAACUUAGUAAAAGAAAAAUUGAAUAGAAAUAAUUUGGACAAUACAAAUAACAAGGUGUUUAAUUUUACAAAUAUAGGGUUACCAACAGAAGUAGAAAGUAUCCUGAAAUUGGAACCUAAAUUUGGGGUGGAGACAAAAAAUAAUAUGAAGUAUCUACCUACGGUUAUCAAGGACGUUGAGUAUGGUAUUGCAUCGGUAAAGGUAGAAAAUUGUGAAACCACUGAAGAAAAUAUUAAAAAUAAUUUAAGAUCCAGAGUAGUUAAUGUCAUUUCAAAUUUCUAUAAAAAGAAUAAAUUGAAUGAAAAACAUCAGAUAAUUAGAAAAAACUUAACGUAUACACGACGGUUCCUCAAGGAUAGACAAGAUUUGAUUGUUGCACGAUCAGAUAAAGGAAAAUGGAUAAAGACCCCACUAACAAGUUCGAGCGUAUAGGUAACAAUAUAGUCAAGAAGAUGAUGGGAUUAAAAUUAAUUGAUAAACCACGUGCUGAAAGGUUGACGUCGAGGUACACGGUUGCUCCGCGGAUCUACGGUUUGAGGAAAACACAUAAGAAUACAUGUUUAAUGAAGACAUACAGUUUACUUUAGAAAUAGAACAAAACAAUCGCAUCUCUUUCCUUGAUAUUUUGAUAGAAAGAAGAGAAGGGUGUUUAAUUACUGACUGGUUUAUCAAACCGAUAAGUUCUGGUAGAAUGUUGAAUUUCGAAUCAAACCAUCCACGUGCACAAAAGAUAGGAAUGAUUACUGGGUUAUUGGAUAGAAUGAUUAAAUUAAGUAAUGAAGCACAUUGGGAAAAAAAUUAUAAAAUUAUUAGUAACUUGUUGUUAAAAAAUGGAUAUAAUAAGUCUUUCAUUAACGCGAUUGUAGGAAAAUUUAGACAGGAAUUGUGACAUCCAUGUGGAGUGACGUGUUUUUCGGCCGUUAACAAAAAAAAUUAAAAUUAAAAAAAAAAAAAAAAAAAAAAAAAAAAAAAAAAAAAAAAAAAAAAAAAAACUAAUUGGAGGAUGUAAUUUAAUAAUCAAAAAUAUGUAUUGAUGCGACUAUAUGUGAGUAAAAGCCUGUAUUAUAA